GUACACCAAAAUGCACAGGUUGUGAACUCGAAGAGUAGGGCGGGACACGUGGUAUCCUGUCUGAAUAUGGGGGGACCAUCCUCCAAGGCUAAAUACUCCUGACUGACCGAUAGUGAACCAGUACCGUGAGGGAAAGGCGAAAAGAACCCCGGCGAGGGGAGUGAAAAAGAACCUGAAACCGUGUACGUACAAGCAGUGGGAGCACCUUCGGGUGUGACUGCGUACCUUUUGUAUAAUGGGUCAGCGACUUAUAUUCUGUAGCAAGGUUAACCGUAUAGGGGAGCCGCAGGGAAACCGAGUCUUAACUGGGCGUUAAGUUGCAGGGUAUAGACC
rnacentral:rRNA from 1 species